UAAUUAAGGUGGAUGUGUACA
rnacentral:piRNA from 1 species